CUUGCUGACAGAAAUGGUCUAGUGAGCCCCUGCUCACCCUCUCAAUUUAGCAUGGAAAUUGGAGCUUCCAGCUGAUUAUUGUUGAACGGUGAGAUAACGAGAAGCAAAACAAGGGAGAAGUUGAGUUGGCGAGUCAGCGCCUUCAUAGAACAGUGCUGCAGGUGGACUGCCAUGGAAAUUGUUAUUUGCUGGGGUUUAGAAUUGGUAAUGCCUGAAUUUUAUAAUGUUUGUUGUUGCUUUGUUUUGUUUUUCCUUAGGAGGUGGCAAAGUGACUAAUAAAUGUGGGCAUGGUGUUUGUGAUGGGAGCUGCCGCGGCACAGUGCAGUGGAGCGCCUUGCCUGAAGUUGCUCUGCAAAUCCAUCACAGAGCCUGGAAUGAAAUCCACUGCAUUUGAGCAAUGUGGGAAGUGGCACAGCAGGCAGAAAUGCCUAAUGCACAACAAGCUGAAAAGAAAAUCCAGGAAAACUGGUUGUUACCUCAGAAAUAAAGGUCUCAUGGACUUCAACACAGGUUUUCAAGUCGCCUCACCCAGCCUUGUCCCUGGAGGAUGUUCAGUGGAGGGAGCUGGGCAUGGGGACGUGGUGCUGGGGUGUCCCCAGGAGAGCCAGGCAGUGUGGCCAGAGCCCUGGGAGCCAGCCCUCGGCACCCCACCACUGCAGCUGCAAGCACCAGAGGAGCUGGUGUUGCCCAGGCUGUCCCAAACGUCUGUGUGCCAGGCUGUGCGUGUGUGUGCACGUGGGGGUGACCGGCACAGAGCCGGAGGCACCACAAGAGCCGAGGCUCCGCGGGCACGGGGCCACCAGCCCCAGCGCCAGCAGCACCAAGGAGGGGAUGCAGCUGCUGCAGGGGCUGUGGCAGGGGGAAUCGGCAGAAAUAGCAAGGCUAGCGCCCGGCUUCCUGAGCGGAGAAGAAACUUGACACAGAGGAGGCUGAGGGAUCUGGCGUCUGUAAUACGAAAACUACCAGAACUUUCUCAAGAGCUGUGGUUUUGUUUGCUUGUUCGCUGCUGGGGACGGGGAGCAGUUCGGGCUUGGCAGAGCAGAAGACUUGUCAUCUUCUCAUUUUCAUAUACUUCAGUACUUUGUAAUCUUGGCAAAAGCAAGGUGCUGAAGGGGGUCUGUUCUUGAGUUUCCAAUUCUUAUAUUUCCAAUGUUGAUUAAACAAGAAAAUCUCCUACAAGCCUCUUCUUGUUAGAUUCUUCAGUCCUAUUUCAAGAUCAAAUGGGCUUUAAAACAGGUCUGGAUAAGCUCACAAGCUUAAUCUACUUGAAAGGUAGAAUGAUUGGGCAACAUGCUAGACGUGACAAUAGAUCAUUCUGUGUAUCGCAGGUAGCACUCCUGUCCUCUGGAGAUAUUCCCCGUCAUGUCUGGAGAGUGCCUGGGACACAAAUGUUCUGCAGUUGCUGUACCAUUUGCACAGCACAGUUGUACCUGAAGGCAGUUGUUUAAUGGAAACAUUCAGUUUGCAUUUUCUGCCACUAAUACUUUAGUGGGAUCAACAUUAUUGAGGCUAAUUAGAAUUCAGCGAGAACUGAUUGUUCAUUAGAGAGAGAAAAAAAUGUUCCAUGGAGCCCUGGGUUUGGUAGAACUAUUUCACAUAAUUAAGCAAUUCCACAUCUUGGCAUUUUAUCCCUCUUGUUAUCAUUGCACUUUGUUAAUAAGUUUUUAAUUGCAAAUUAUCUCUAUGACACAAAUUACACUGUGUUUACUGAUCAGCAAAAAUGCCAUGAUAACCAGCUUGGAUGCCAAGUCCUUCGAAAAUACUAGCUGCCAAGUUCUCUCCCUUACGUAGUUUGGCAUUAAAAUAUCUUCAGGUUACUUAAAAUAUAUUGACUUCCAGUUUAAAGUGUUGUGGACUAUACAGUUUCUUGGCUAAGGCUCCAGGAAUAGGGGAACAAUAGCUUACAUAACCAAAAGAAGCUUAGUUGCAUGUUGCAAGUUGUUCCUGUUUCUCUGAUGUUCUGGAUUAUGUUCUGUGUUUCCUCCAUGUAUCAUGUACAUACCUCAAACUCAUGAAAAGUGGCUAUUAACACAAUUAUUUAAG
rnacentral:lncRNA from 1 species